rnacentral:tRNA from 1 species
GGGGCACGGGGAUCGAUACCCCGCAUCUCCA